rnacentral:rRNA from 1 species
GACAGAGGCCACAAGCGUUAGGCGGAAUCACUGGGCUUAAAGCGUGUGUAGGCGGGCCGUUAAGUGCCUUGUGAAAUCCCAUCGCUCAACGAUGGAAUGGCUGGGCAGACUGGCGGUCUUGAGCCACCUAGGGGCAACUGGAACAAACGGUGGAGCGGUGAAAUGCGUAGAUAUCGUUUGGAACGCCAACGGUGAAAACAGGUUGCUGGGGGUGUGCUGACGCUGAGACACGAAAGCCAGGGGAGCAAACGGG